rnacentral:rRNA from 1 species
UUGAACGCUGGCGGCAGGCUUAACACAUGCAAGUCGCGCGGGGAAGAGUAGCUUGCUACUUGACCUAGCGGCGGACGGGUGAGUAAUGCUUAGGAAUCUGCCUAUUAGUGGGGGACAACAUCUCGAAAGGGAUGCUAAUACCGCAUACGUCCUACGGGAGAAAGCAGGGGACCUUCGGGCCUUGCGCUAAUAGAUGAGCCUAAGUCGGAUUAGCUAGUUGGUGGGGUAAAGGCCUACCAAGGCGACGAUCUGUAGCGGGUCUGAGAGGAUGAUCCGCCACACUGGGACUGAGACACGGCCCAGACUCCUACGGGAGGCAGCAGUGGGGAAUAUUGGACAAUGGGGGGAACCCUGAUCCAGCCAUGCCGCGUGUGUGAAGAAGGCCUUUUGGUUGUAAAGCACUUUAAGCGAGGAGGAGGCUACCGAGAUUAAUACUCUUGGAUAGUGGACGUUACUCGCAGAAUAAGCACCGGCUAACUCUGUG